rnacentral:snRNA from 1 species
GGUCAGUGGGACGGACGACGAAAAAAGGUGACACACCCAGAGUUCGCUCUCGACAGACAGCGGGUCGAUAAGAGAAAAAAGUUAAGAUACACAAAUACCAGAUCCUUGCUGCUAAAACAACAGACCCA